rnacentral:rRNA from 1 species
GAUGAACGCUGGCGGCGUGCCUAAUACAUGCAAGUCGAGCGAACGGACGAGAAGCUUGCUUCUCUGAUGUUAGCGGCGGACGGGUGAGUAACACGUGGAUAACCUACCUAUAAGACUGGGAUAACUUCGGGAAACCGUAGCUAAUACCGGAUAAUAUUUUGAACCGCAUGGUUCAAAAGUGAAAGACGGUCUUGCUGUCACUUAUAGAUGGAUCCGCGCUGCAUUAGCUAGUUGGGAAGGUAACGGCUUACCAAGGCAACGAUGCAUAGCCGACCUGAGAGGGUGGUCGGCCACACUGGAGCUGAGACACGGUCCAGACUCCUACGGGAGGCAGCAGUCGGGAAUCUUCCGCAAUGGGCGAAAGCCUGACGGAGCAACGCCGCGUGAGUGAUGAAGGUCUUCGGAUCGUAAAACUCUGUUAUUAGGGAAGAACAUAUGUGUCAGUAACUGUGCACAUCUUGACGGUAACUGAUCAGAAAGCAACGGCUAACUACGUG